GUGUGAGCCAGGCUGCAGGAACCUUCUCUGCUAGUCUUAAACACAAAAUUUUACAAAUAUAGAAUGUUACACCGUAAGAUAAAAACCCAACUAAAACGAGGGCUCUCUCUAGGCCAAGACUGCUAUUUUAAAAGUAAGUGCAAUAAGUACAGGAACUAAAAUAAGUCACUGGUGAAUACAAAAAAAGACAGAAUAAACAUUGCUUGAGUGUCAGUGAACCAUGAGCUUUUGUUUCGCUAGUUACACGUGAUGAGAAAUGAAUACCAUCUUAUAUGGUAUAUUUGCAUUUAAAUGGGUGCGUUCUGUGAAAAUGAUUAUUGUACAUAUUUGGUUACACAUACAGUGUAACGUUUAUUUAAAGGCUCUCACAAAAAUACACUUCAGUUGCCCGAGAAUGGUGUAAUUGUGGUCAGAUGGCAUGAUUUAAUUUGAACGUUUGCCCAGCAGUCUCCAAUAUGUAAUAGAUCAUUUACAGGAGCGUGUAAGCAGAACACCGCGGAGGAGCCAAAUGGAAAGCAGCCUUAUCCCACACGCUGAAGGUGUAAUAAAAUACUGACUCUGUACUUGGCUGGCAAGGGCAGCUGUAGCCGUAUAAUAUCCUCAGUAAGUAUGGUGAGAGCUGGGCAGAACUUCAGAGCUACUGCUCUCCAGAUGGCUCAGAACAAUACUGAGUUCAGGAAUACAUAUUUCCAUGUAAGACUGCUUGCUGCCGGCUGUCAGGCAUUGCUGCCACUUCCAAAGAAAACACUGGGAAAUUUCCUCCCCACCCCACCAGUUACUACCUGAUUCUGAGUCAUUCAGUCAGCAGCUGUAUUUAUCAAGCUAUUUGGCAUUGUAAACUAGCAAUUUCUCCUUCCUAGGAUGAAUUUCAGUGAAGAAACCUAACACAACUGAGAAAGAGUUAAAAACAUAAAUUUGGCAACUGAUAAACAUAAAUCCAAUUAAAUACUCUUCUCCCGAGUAUCUUCCGUUGCCUCCCUACCAGACAUUAAUUCACAUUUUCACAUUAUUUUCCUCCAUGAAGAUUUAGUCCAGGCUUCCCCAUAAACCAGUAUUUUCACUGUGAAUUGUUCUUUAAAUUGUAGAUCCAAACCUCCUCCGUGCUGUGAAAGCAGAGCUGAUUCUUCGAUAUCAUUAUAAAGAAAACCUGAACGUGUUUUAGUACACAAGGGGUCCUGUUCAAACUGAACACUACUCCAGUCAAGGGCCUGAACUUGUCCAAAAACUGCACCAAGCGCAGACAGGGCAGCAAGAGCGAUGGAGAGGAGAGACAUCAGUGACAGCUUUAAACCAGGACUCUGGGGAUCAGGUCUGUUAAACAACACUUGAACACUUUCUCCCUUGCUACUCUCCACCUCGAGUCUCCUCAUGCAACACACACGGAUACACGUGACUGUAUGUCACAAGAGUUCAGCUGGACUGAGGCAAGACAUAAAAAUCAAGCAGUCAGAGAAAUGAAAUCAAUUUUCGUAUCCUAAAUAUUACAGCUCUGGAGAAAACAGCUGCAGCCAAUGAGAGGCACCAAGAAAAACAUGGUUUCUAAAGAGACCAGAGAAAUUUUGUGAACACAGGUAGAUUUGUACCAUGCUGUAAAUCUAAAUAUGUAUUUUCUGUUUAUGCAGGUCCAGUUUCUUCCAGAGAUAGAAAAGAAAUGCUGAGCACACAGACCUGCUUUUUCAAGCCUUUUCAACAGGUGGAAAAGCCUGAAAGAUGGAAAGAAAUGCGGUCUCAAGAAAGACACACGGUCCUUCAAAACUCACAUAGCACGAAAUAGCCUGGGCAACUCAUUUAAACUUCUUGGGAAACCAGAAGAACAAUUAAGCUGGGAGUAACUCCCUUGAAACACAGAAGAUGCAGCACACUUAGCUAACUGUAUCUGAACAGCUCAUCAAACGGGGUAUUAAAGAAAGAUAACCUUUGAUUUCAUGCUAACAUAGUCAAUAUUCUUUGAAUCAUCCCAUGAGUGAAUAAUAAUGAAUAAUAAUUAAAAAAAACCAAAACCAAACCCUAGCACAAUAAAGGGCAGUGUUAAAGGCAAAGUGAAACGAAGUUUGGCCUGGUUAACAGGCUCACAUUUGCACAUUCGUUUUACCACAACUCAGCAUCACCAGCGGUGAACGGGCUGGAUGACACGGCUCAACAGCCUCCUCGCUUUAAAUUCAGCAUAGUUACAAUCGACUUUUUUGACCGAAAUACCAUUUGAUGGCCAUUCAAUGACAGUUUCUGCAUGUGAGGUCCUUUCACUCUUUUGACAACUGAUUGGGGCUGCUACAGCCUCUCCCGCUCUCUCCGCUACCAAACCAGAGUUUUGCUGCCUUUUAUGAAAGCCAUCAAUAAGCAAAGGAAAGAGAUAAAGAAAUAAAUGCAAGCAUUUCAUGCCCUCAAUUAGACAACUGAAUUAGGGAAGUCACAGCAGGCUCAGAGAGUUUUUCGGUAUAAUCUUUUUAAAAAUGAUUUGUAUGAGCAAAUGCAAAUAUUUACCCUCAAUCUAGUUCUGAACGCGUCAGCAGGGUGUUUCAAAGGGAAGGCGAUUGCUUCACUCUGCUGAGGAGGUUCCAGCAAUCGCUGCCUAACCUGGACCAGCUCGCUCUGGCCAGGGGCGACAGGCCAGCAGGAAUCCCUCCUGGGGAUUUUGCUCUGUUGCGCUCCCACUGCCACACACCACUUAUUGCUGCAACCCGGAGAAGGCUGAGGGCAGUACUUACUGUUGUUUUCUUCUUCCAAAAAAGAUAAAAAAAUACAAAUUUACAGAAAAAAACCCAACUCGAAUCUUAAGUCUCAGAAGAGCAUUUUCAAUUACCUUAUCUAUAAUUACAUUCAGUCUUUCAACUGCUGAUUACAAAGUAUUUUUGAACUGCAUGCUUCAAAGAGAACUGAAU